rnacentral:rRNA from 1 species
CCGGAGGUUACUGCUAUCGAGGUUCGACUAAGCCAUGCGAGUCGAAUGUAGCAAUACAUGGCGAACUGCUCAGUAACACGUGGACAACCUGCCCUUUAGGUUGGGUAUAAACCCGGGAAACUGGGUAUAAUACCCGAUAGGUCUCGAUUGCUGGAAUGCAUCGAGAUUUAAAGCUCCGGCGCCUAAGGAUGGGUCUGCGGCCUAUCAGGUAGCAGUGGGUGUAGCGUACCUACUAGCCUACGACGGGUACGGGUUGUGAGAGCAAGAGCCCGGAGAUGGAUUCUGAGACACGAAUCCAGGCCCUACGGGGUGCAGCAGGCGCGAAAACUUUACAAUGCUGGCAACAGCGAUAAGGGAACCUCGAGUGCCAGGUUACAAAUCUGGCUGUCGAGAUGCCUAAAAAGCAUUUCAUAGCAAGGGCCGGGCAAGACCGGUGCCAGCCGCCGCGGUAACACCGGCGGCUCGAGUGGUAACCGUUAUUAUUGGGUCUAAAGGGUCUGUAGCCGGCCGGAUAAGUCUCUUGAGAAAUCUGGCAGCUUAACUGUCAGGCUUUCAGGAGAUACUGUCUGGCUCGAGGCCGGGAGAGGUGAGAGGUACUUCAGGGGUAGGGGUGAAAUCUUGUAAUCCUUGAAGGACCACCAGUGGCGAAGGCGUCUCACCAGAACGGACCUGACGGCAAGGGACGAAAGCUAGGGGCACGAACCGGAUUAGAUACCCGGGUAGUCCUAGCCGUAAACGAUACUCGCUAGGUGUCGGCCACGGUGCGACCGUUGUCGGUGCCGUAGGGAAGCCGUGAAGCGAGCCACCUGGGAAGUACGGCCGCAAGGCUGAAACUUAAAGGAAUUGGCGGGGGAGCACCACAACGGGUGGAGCUUGCGGUUUAAUUGGAGUCAACGCCGGG